GCCUUCCAUCCUGGCCGUUCCCAGGUCUCUUUCCCUCGCUUUAGGGACAUUUUACCGUCUAGGUCAACAUCUCCCUCCAGAGCGGGUAGCAGGGAUUCCGCCCAAAGCUGAGCUCACCCCACCAGGACUUCUGUGUGAAAGAAACCAUAGUUAAGGGAAAGCAGGGUGUGGAGGGCGCUGGCAGCCGGGAACCGCCUUGCUCUUCUCCGGAGAAGCGAUUAAAUUCAGGAUGGAAGAGUCACUAAGGUUGAGAAUUCUGUGCAGCAGAGCACGGCUAAACCUUGGCGAAAGCUAAAAGAGCUGGACCCAGGACAGUCCCGAAGAAGCAAACCCAGAGGGAGGGAAGCAGAGGACCGCCGGGCUCUGUCUCCUUGCUCGUCACCUGCCUAAAACAAGCGUACAGUUCCUCUCGUCCCUGCUGCCUCCCUCAGACUCAGCAAGUCUCAGAGAGCUCUUGGGGUUUCUCAUGGCUCUUUGUCUUCAAUCCCUGGGAGAAGGUCACUCAAGCCCAUGCUUGAGAUGACUGCCUGAUGGUUUCAAGCCUCCACAUCAUACCCAGCUAUUUUAUUUGAAUUUCAAAUACACCUUAAAACUUCAUAAUAGACCUUUAUCUGGAAAUAUGUCAAACUCAAAAUUGACUUCUUGGGGGGUAAUAAGGAAGAAGAAUGGCAGCAAUUGAUGGUUUGUUCACAUAAACUGCAUAGUGCAAAGCUGUGUUGCCAUUUGCAUCCUUUAUUUGGGUCAGCCCCAUAUUGAAGGAGUAAAGAUACAAUGGUUUCUUCACACAUUUGUACUGCCUGUUAGUAUUGUAUCAAAAAACCCACUGUCAAUUCUAGAAAUGUAAUACAGUGGUUUUCCCCAACUAGCUGUGGAUUUUUAAUUAUUUUGCGAGUAUGGGUAUUUUACCUGCUCACAUGUCUGUGCACCCCUUGGGUGCAGUGCCCUCAGAGGCCAGAAGAGGGCAUCAGAUACCCUGACACUGUAAUUACAGACGGGUGUGAGCCACCUCGUGGAUGCUGGGAAUCAAACGGAAUACUAGGAAAGCAGUCGUUGCUUUUAACCCCUGAAUCACCUCCCCAGGCCCCAGUUAGCUAUAUUUAAAUGUGGUGAAUCCAUUUUCCUCCUAAGCAUUUCCAUUAAAUCCUUCUCCACUGAAA